UAGCCGGCUACGGCGCGGUGUGGUUGGU
rnacentral:sRNA from 1 species